ensembl:lncRNA
AGGACUAAACCAGGACUAAACCAGAUCUAAACCAGGACUGAACCAGGUCUAAACCAGGACUAAACCAGGUCUAAACCAGGACUAAACCAGGACUAAACCAGGACUAAACCAGGUCUAAACCAGGACUAAACCAGGACUAAACCAGGACUAAACCAGGUCUGAACCAGGACUAAACCAGGACUAAACCAGGACUAAACCAGGACUAAACCAGGUCUAAACCAGGACUAAACCAGGACUAAACCAGGACUAAACCAGGUCUAAACCAGGACUAAACCAGGACUAAACCAGGUCUAAACCGGGACUAAACCAGGACUAAACCAGG